rnacentral:rRNA from 1 species
UACGUAGGCAGCGAGCGUUGUUCGGAAUUACUGGGCGUAAAGAGUGUGUAGGCGGUGCUCCCAGUCUGUUGUGAAAUCUCCCGGCUUAACUGGGAGGGUGCGCCGGAAACUGGAGUGCUCGAGCGUGGGAGAGGAAAGCGGAAUUCCUGGUGUAGCGGUGAAAUGCGUAGAUAUCAGGAGGAACACCUGCGGUGUAGACGGCUUUCUGGACCAUUGCUGACGCUGAGACACGAAAGCGUGGGUAGCAAACAGG